rnacentral:rRNA from 1 species
UAAUACAUGCAAGUCGAGCGGACGGAAGGGAGCUUGCUCCCGGAAGUCAGCGGCGGACGGGUGAGUAACACGUGGGUAACCUGCCUGUAAGACUGGGAUAACUCCGGGAAACCGGGGCUAAUACCGGAUAGCUUCUUCCUCCGCAUGGAGGAAGAAUGAAAGGCGGCCUUUGGCUGUCACUUACAGAUGGACCCGCGGCGCAUUAGCUAGUUGGUGGGGUAACGGCUCACCAAGGCGACGAUGCGUAGCCGACCUGAGAGGGUGAUCGGCCACACUGGGACUGAGACACGGCCCAGACUCCUACGGGAGGCAGCAGUAGGGAAUCUUCCGCAAUGGACGAAAGUCUGACGGAGCAACGCCGCGUGAGUGAAGAAGGUUUUCGGAUCGUAAAGCUCUGUUGUCAGGGAAGAACAAGUACCGGAGUCACUGCCGGUACCUUGACGGUACCUGACCAGAAAGCCACGGCUAACUACGUGCCAGCAGCCGCGGUAAUACGUAGGUGGCAAGCGUUGUCCGGAAUUAUUGGGCGUAAAGCGCGCGCAGGCGGCCUUUUAAGUCUGAUGUGAAAGCCCACGGCUCAACCGUGGAGGGUCAUUGGAAACUGGAAGGCUUGAGUGCAGAAGAGGAGAGCGGAAUUCCACGUGUAGCGGUGAAAUGCGUAGAGAUGUGGAGGAACACCAGUGGCGAAGGCGGCUC